AGAGUUUGAUCCUGGCUCAGGACGAACGCUGGCGGCGUGCUUAACACAUGCAAGUCGAACGAGAAUCACCGGAAGGAGUUUUCGGACAACGGAAGGUGAGGAAAGUGGCGGACGGGUGAGUAACGCGUGAGGAACCUGCCUUGGAGAGGGGGACAACAGCUGGAAACGGCUGCUAAUACCGCAUAAUGCAAUGGAGUCGCAUGGCUUUAUUGCCAAAGAUUUAUCGCUCUGAGAUGGCCUCGCGUCUGAUUAGCUAGUUGGUGGGGUAACGGCCCACCAAGGCGACGAUCAGUAGCCGGACUGAGAGGUUGAACGGCCACAUUGGGACUGAGAUACGGCCCAGACUCCUACGGGAGGCAGCAGUGGGGAAUAUUGGGCAAUGGGCGCAAGCCUGACCCAGCAACGCCGCGUGAAGGAAGAAGGCUUUCGGGUUGUAAACUUCUUUUAAGAGGGAAGAGCAGAAGACGGUACCUCUAGAAUAAGCCACGGCUAACUACGUGCCAGCAGCCGCGGUAAUACGUAGGUGGCAAGCGUUGUCCGGAUUUACUGGGUGUAAAGGGCGUGCAGGCGGGUCUGCAAGUCAGAUGUGAAAUCCAGGGGCUCAACUCCUGAACUGCAUUUGAAACUGUAGAUCUUGAGUACCGGAGGGGCAAGCGGAAUUCCUAGUGUAGCGGUGAAAUGCGUAGAUAUUAGGAGGAACACCAGUGGCGAAGGCGGAUUGCUGGACGGCAACUGACGGUGAGGCGCGAAAGUGUGGGGAGCAAACAGGAUUAGAUACCCUGGUAGUCCACACUGUAAACGAUGGAUACUAGGUGUGCGGGGACUGACCCCCUGCGUGCCGGCGUAAACACAAUAAGUAUCCCACCUGGGGAGUACGAUCGCAAGGUUGAAACUCAAAGGAAUUGACGGGGGCCCGCACAAGCGGUGGAUUAUGUGGUUUAAUUCGAAGCAACGCGAAGAACCUUACCAGGGUUUGACAUCCUGCUAACGAAGUAGAGAUACAUNNCGAGACUGCCGUUGACAAAACGGAGGAAGGUGGGGACGACGUCAAAUCAUCAUGCCCCUUAUGUCCUGGGCUACACACGUAAUACAAUGGCGGUCAACAGAGGGAAGCAAAGCCGCGAGGCAGAGCAAAUCCCCAAAAGCCGUCUCAGUUCGGAUCGCAGGCUGCAACUCGCCUGCGUGAAGUCGGAAUUGCUAGUAAUCGCGGAUCAGCAUGCCGCGGUGAAUACGUUCCCGGGCCUUGUACACACCGCCCGUCACACCAUGAGAGUCGGGAACACCCGAAGUCCGUAGCCUAACCGCAAGGGGGGCGCGGCCGAAGGUGGGUUCGAUAAUUGGGGUGAAGUCGUAACAAGGUAGCCGUUCGAGAACGAGCGGCUG
rnacentral:rRNA from 1 species